CCCUGGCCUGGAGGCUCUUUUGGGAAGGAACCAACAGUGAUGGCCUUUCCUAGAAGCAGAUGCAGGAAAAAUGCUGUGCGGAUGCCUUAUACCAGUCAAUCUUAACAAGAACUGGGCUACCUCGUCCACUGGCUAGACCCUGCAAGGAGUCUUUGGGCUUGUAAGUAUAGCAGAGGAUGGACAUCCUAUGAACUCAGCAGGGUUUGGCUGUAGCACGGCAACCUUCUAUCUCCUGGAGCCCAUGACCAGGCUGGAACCUACCUAUGCUUUCACCCUUGGGUGUGCCUGGCUCUAACCAGGUCCUGGAACAAUAGGACCACAGGAUGGUGCAAGACUUGUCUUGGAAAAAAACACCUAAGAUGCUUAAUUAGAACAAUUCCUUUAUUUGAAAACUGCUGGUAUGAAUUUCCUCCUUCCCUCAAUUAGGCCAGAAACCCAUCAUGGGGCGGGCACAGCCUCUACACGAGGAAGCCCCAGCUUGCGGGGGCUAGGAUGGAGCAGCCAUGAGAGACACCUAGCCAAAUGUCCAUUUUCCCAUCAUAAACAAUGGAGUGGGGGUCAGGGGGAGAACACAGUGGUAAGUGAAUGGCCAGAAACUCUAGAGGGGGCCUGACACCCACCUGGUGAGGUACCUCCGUGCCCCAGCCCCACUGAGGACUCAGGCCCCUUGCUUGGAUCAUGCUGCCCCAUCGGGUGCUGCCCCUGCCCUCUUCCUCUGAGUUCUAACAACACAGACACCAGCGCCUGAAAGCCCUGCCGCUGCCAGGGAGUUAGAAUUCUGGCUGCCUCUACUUGGGAAUCUCCUUCCAUGUGUGGAUCUGCAGAACAUCCAGAUGGGGCCAUCCCACCUCAUGAUCCAUUCACUCCCAGUGGGAUACACUGGAACUCAACCUUGGAGACUGGAGCCCAACAGAUUAAGGCAGAAUUCUCCUUGCUUUGGAGGCAGGUCUGCAGGGAGGGGGUGAAGUCUAGCUGCCCCUCAUGUCCCAUCCCAGUGAGGGUACUGGUUUUCCACAGCUAAGCCCAGGAGCUUCCUAUAUCCCGUCUGCUGAGACAGCAAGGGGUGUGGCCCGGCCAGCCUCCUGACAUGGUUUCCACUGACCUCUGAAAGCCCCUGCAGCUCAGCCUUUAAACCUCCAUUCCCGGAAGGGAAACUACGCGGCAAAGGUGACCGGGGACCGAGCAUUUCAGAUCUGCUUGGUAGACCUGGUGCACCACCACCAUGUUGGCUGCAAGGCUUGUGUGUCUCCGGACACUACCUUCUAGGGUUUUCCACCCAGCUUUCACCAAGGCCUCCCCUGUUGUGAAGAAUUCCAUCAUGAAGAAUCAACGGCUGUUAACACCCAGCAGGGAAUAUGCCACCAAAACAAGAAUUGGGAUCCGGCGUGGGAGAACUGGUCAAGAACUCAAAGAGGCAGCAUUUGAACCAUUGAUGGAAAAAAUAUUUAAAAUUGAUCAGAUGGGAAGAUGGUUUGUUGCUGGAGGGGCUGCUGUUGGUCUUGGAGCAUUGUGCUACUAUGGGUUGGGACUGUUAAUGAGAUUGGAGCUAUUGAAAAGGCUGUAAUUUGGCCUCAGUAUGUGAAGGACAGAAUUCAUUCCACCUGUAUGUACUUAGCAGGGAGUAUUGGUUUAACAGCUUUGUCUGCCAUAGCAAUAAGCAGAUCGCCUGUUCUCAUGAACUUCAUGAUGAGAGGCUCUUUGGUGACAAUUGGUAUGACCUUUGCAGCCAUGGUUGGAGCUGGAAUGCUGGUACAAUCAAUACCAUAUGACCAGAGCCCAGGCCCAAAGCAUCUUGCCUGGUUGCUACAUUCUGGUGUGAUGGGUGUAGUGGUGGCUCUUCUGACAAUAUUAGUGGGUCCUCUUCUCAUCAGAGCUGCAUGGUACACAGCUGGCAUUGUGGGAGGCCUCUCCACUGUGGCCAUGUGUGCGCCCAGUGAAAAGUUUCUGGACAUGGGUGCGCCCCUGGGAGUGGGCCUGGGUUUCGUCUUUGUGUCCUCACUGGGAUCUAUGUUUCUUCCACCUACCACUGUGGCUGGUGCCACUCUUUACUCAGUGGCAAUGUAUGGUGGAUUAGUUCUUUUCAGCAUGUUCCUCUUGUAUGAUACCCAGAAAGUAAUCAAGUGUGCAGAAGUGUCACCAGCAUAUGGAGUUCAAAAAUAUGAUCCCAUUAACUUGAUGCUGAAUAUCUACAUGGAUACAUUAAAUAUAUUUAAACGAGUUGCAACUAUGCUAGCAACUGGAAGCAACAGAAAGAAAUGAAGUGACUCAGCGUCUGGCUUCUCUGCUACAUCAAACAUCUUGCUUGUUUAAUGGGGCAGAUAUGCAUUAAAUAGUUUGUACAAGCAAAAAAAAAAAAAACCUCCAUCCAUCUCGGAGUUCAGA